UUAAUAUGGUUGAAGUUAAAAAAAAAGAAAAAAAAGACAGAGGCCGUUUUCGGCCAGUGAUGUUUUAAUGCUGAUAUUUUUCAAUUGUUAGGACGCUAGCUGUUUGGUGUAGCCAGAUGAUGUGCUGACUUGUGCUGCACUGACAAUGGCUUCUGUAUAAUUAUAUUCAAAUUCCCUUUUGUACCUACAGGUUGAUGAGCCAAAACCUACAGGCCCAGUACAAUUUGUGUGGAAGGGGACCUCAGAGGAAGCUUUCAUUUGAGAAGCUCCGGCUCUACUCUGUUGUGAUAGGUAAAAUAGCACAUCUAUACUAUAGUGCUUCAAAUCUCUGUCUGUCACUCUGUGUCUGUAACACUGUGUCAACCACUCGACGGAUUGAGAUGAGACAUGGUGGAUAUCUUCCUUGGAGCACAAGAAUAUUCCUGUAUUGACUUUUAAGUUGAUACCGGAACCGGCGUGCCCGCACGAGAUGAUUGCUUUACCAGUAAUGGUGGUUUGGCUUCACCAGGAGACUCCAGUGGGUAUUCGCUCAGUUCUUGUUUGAGUUGCUCUGUAAAUGGCAAUACAUGUAGUUAUUUUUGAAAGUAAUUUGGGGACUUCAUUUUUCCCUACGUUUUCGUACUUCGUGUAGGUCUUGUUCAAAGUGGUCUUAAAAAGGUCUUAAAAAGUCUCAAAUUUGACUUGUUCGAACCUGCAGAGACCCUGUUUAGAGCAUCUGCAGCUGAAUAUUUUCACUGCUUUCUACAGCCAAUGUUAUUUCAUAUCUUACAGAUAGUGUCCAGAGGAGCACGCCCAACUCGGAGAUCAACAUUCGUCAGCACUGGUGGAAGAGUACCGGCAGGUAUACCGGCUGAACUGUACACCCCAUACAGCCCUGAUGACGUCCCCGUUCACCGGACCACCCGUAGGAAAAGAGGACGGAGAGGGGGCAUACGUCGGAGACUGAAACAUCUCAGCCUGGACAACCGCCGCCGGCUUCCUCCGCUGCCUACGGUUCUGCUCUCAAAUGCACAGUCCAUCAGGAACAAGGUGGAUGAGCUGGAAGCGUGGGCCAAAUUCAAACCCGAAGUUCGGGAAGCAUGUCUGCUAGCAUUCACUGAGACAUGGCUCAGCGAAGCGGAUCGAGAUGGGGACCUGGCCAUAAGUGGGUUUGGCAGCCCACUUCGUCUUGACCGGUCCCCAGAGAUCACAGGGAAGAGUCGAGGAGGGGGAGUGUGUCUUUUUGUUAAUCGGAGGUACUGUAACACCGUUGUGAUCCGGGAAAAGUUAUGUACUCCUGAUAUUGAACUGCUGUCUGUCUCACUCCGGCCUCACUAUUUACCCCGUGAAUUUCAACAGCUGUUUUUCACGCUUGUUUACAUUCACCCACGUGCCAACGCAGCUGCAGCGACACAGUUGAUCGUAGAUGUCACACAGAGACUCGACUCCAUCUGCCCUGAUGCUCCAAAGUUUAUCCUCGGGGAUUUUAAUCAUGGCACCUUGACUAAGUCACUGAAAACCUAUGAACAAUAUGUGUCUUGUGCCACCACUAUAAGAAACUCAACGAUUGAUCUAUGCUAUAGUUCAGUAAGCAGUGCUUAUAAAUCCUUGCCCAUGCCUUCUCUUGGUGCUUCCUACCACAACUGUGUGUUUUUAAUGCCCACGUAUAAGCCUGCCCUCAGACAUCUUGAGCAUGAAGAGAAAGAAGUCCAAAUCUGGUCGGAGGACAGUGUUUCAUCUCUCCAGGCCUGUUUGGACUGCACUGAUUGGGACUGUUUCUAUGAUAGCUGUGAGAAUAUUGACGUCCUCGGUGACACGGUUUCCUCCUAUAUUUCAUUCUGUGUAAACUCUAUUAUCCCAUCAAAAAAAGUUGUUGUUUAUCCUAAUAACAAACCCUGGGUAACUAAGGAGCUCAAAACCGUUAUUAACAAAAAGAAAAGGACCUUCUUCACAGGUGAUCUUCUUGAGAAAAAGGCCCUCUCCAGGGAGGUGAGGAAAGAAAUAGCAAAGGCUAAAGUAAACUACAAGAAUAAAAUCGAAAUGAGGUUUGCAGGUGGCAAUAUCAGAGCAGCUUGGCAAGGACUUAAAUCAAUAGCCUGUGUUAACAAGCAGGCAGAUGAGGCCAAGCAGCACACCACCAUUAAAGGAGUACCGAAUGCUGAGUUACCAAACGCUUUCAAUUGUUUUUUUUCCCGUUUUGAAAGUUGUGAUUUUACUCAGAAUAUCUCUGCAUUGAAGAAUUCUCUUGUACCCCUGACUGAUUUUGUUAUAUGCAAAGAUCAGGUUACAGCUUUGUUGAAGAAAACCAACAUAAGGAAGGCUGCGGGCCCAGAUGCUGUCUGUGGGCGCACACUGAGGUACUGUGCCAACCAGCUCAGUGAAGUUUUCUCUACACUCUUUCAGAUGUGUGUCAAUCACUGUCAGCUUCCUUUAAUUUGGAAAAGCUCAACAAUAAUUCCAAUCCCCAAAACAAAAAAUCCUGAGCAACUUACUGAGUUUAGGCCUGUCGCUCUUACAUCACUAAUUAUGAAAAUCUUUGAAAAAAUUCUGAAAGAUGAGAUUGUCUCUUUAGUGUAUGACAAAUUAGACCCCUUACAGUUUGCAUAUCAACCUGGAAAAGGUGUGGAGGAUGCUAAGCUCCUCAUCCUUGACAAAAUCUACAAGCACUUGGAGAAGCCAAAAUCACAUGUGAGACUUUUAUUUGCUGACUUCUCUUCAGCUUUUAACAAGAUGCAACCACAUAUUUUAAUUCAACGACUUUCCUCUUAUUUUAAUUUACCUGAUCAGUUCUUAUUAUUGCUUCUAAACUUUUGA
rnacentral:lncRNA from 1 species